rnacentral:rRNA from 1 species
GACGAACGCUGGCGGCGUGCUUAACACAUGCAAGUCGAACGGAAAGGCCUGCUUUCCCUUGUGGAUUGCGGGUGCUCGAGUGGCGAACGGGUGAGUAACACGUGAGUGAUCUGCCCCCAACUUGGGUAUAAGCCUGGGAAACUGGGUCUAAUUCCCGAUAGGACUGCAGGGUGGUGCCUGUGGUGGAAAACGAUUUUCUAGUGGUUGGGGAUGAGCUCGCGGCCUAUCAGCUUGUUGGUGGGGUAAUGGCCUACCAAGGCGGCGACGGGUAGCCGGCCUGAGAGGGUGGACGGCCACAUUGGGACUGGGAUACGGCCCAGACUCCUACGGGAGGCAGCAGUGGGGAAUAUUGCACAAUGGGCGGAAGCCUGAUGCAGCGACGCCGCGUGGGGGAUGACGGCCUUCGGGUUGUAAACUCCUUUCGACCGCGAGGAAGCCACCUGGUUGGAAGGGUGGUGACGGUAGUGGUAGAAGAAGCACCGGCUAACUACGUG